UACGUAGGGGGCGAGCGUUGUCCGGAGUUACUGGGCGUAAAGGGCAUGCAGGCGGUUCAGCGCGUGUGCGGGGACAGUGGGCGGCUUAACUGCUCAAGGGUCGCACAAACGGCUGGACUGGAGGGCCAGAGAGGGACCUGGAAUUCCGGGUGGAGCGGUGAAAUGCGUAGAGAUCCGGAGGAACACCAAGGGCGAAGGCAAGGUCCUGGCUGGUACCUGACGCUGAGGUGCGAAAGCCAGGGGAGCGAACGGG
rnacentral:rRNA from 1 species